rnacentral:rRNA from 1 species
UACGUAGGGUGCGAGCGUUAAUCGGAAUUAUUGGGCGUAAAGGGCUCGUAGGCGGUUUGUCGCGUCGGGAGUGAAAACCUUGGGCUUAACCCAGGGCUUGCUUUCGAUACGGGCAGACUAGAGGUAUGCAGGGGAGAACGGAAUUCCUGGUGUAGCGGUGAAAUGCGCAGAUAUCAGGAGGAACACCGGUGGCGAAGGCGGUUCUCUGGGCAUGAUCUGACGCUGAGGAGCGAAAGUGUGGGGAGCGAACAGG